AAGAUGCAUAAUUCAAAUGCAUAUUUCUAUUUGGCUGCUUGCCAAUGCCAAAGUCUGUUGAAACCAAUUGUGCUUCUCUGAGGAGUUCUGUUUGUUUGACACAUGGACAGCGAUCAUUUUGGUGUUAAAAUAAAUAUGACCAGUUCAUGCAUUUCCUGGAACUCAAACCAUUGAAUGUUAUUUCUUAUGGUAGUUGAUUGAACAAAUUCUUUAUCGGACCAUCACAAUACUGUGAUUCGAACAUCCCUGAGACAUUUUGAGUGUGUGUUGUGCUUCUUGAGCGUUGUGUUUGAUCCGUACCAUGACUUGAAGAGCGUUGCGAGCAAUGAGCCGUAUUACAGAUGCCCUAAAGGUGUGUUUAGAAUGUGCAUGUUUAUACAUAUGUGCGCAUGCAUGAUUGCGAGCAUAAGUUUGUCUGCACGCUUUCCUGCAUUUAUAGCCUGCGCGUAUUCCCGUCUCUCACCUCGCAUGCGUGAUUCCAACAGAUGGAAUUGGUUUCAUACAGCUGGCACGUCCCCAGGCCAAAGCAAUUAUGAAUUAUAAACAAGCUUUGCAGAAAACCACACACACAUUUCCUCUUCAUUCAUUCCUUCUUCUUCUCUAUUUUUCUGUCUAUCGAUCACACACAUGCAGAUGAUGUGUAAAUUUAAACGAGCUCAGAUCAUUUUUUCAAACCACCAGCUCUUGACAGAAAACACAAACCCAGAGGAAAAUGUUAUUGCUCAGUUGUUGCUCUUUCAUUGCUUAGGAGAGCUAAUGAAUGCUUCCAUUAUGCUUCGUUAAAGGAUCAACUUCAGCUGGAUUGAUGUUUCAUUCAUUCAUGCUUGUGAGAAAAUACCGCAGGAGCCAAAGGAAAAUAAAAACAGUAUGAAAUAAAAUUCUGGACAUCACAAUCACAAUAAGGCAUUAUGGGUCACACCUGACAAAUUGACGAAUAUCUGCCAAAGAGUUUGCUGAAUCAAAAUUAUUUUUUGGUCAGAAUUUUAUGACGCUCAGAACAGGGUUAUUAUCAUUAACUAAAAUUAAAACCAUAAAGUAAAAAACAAAAAAAACAUUUUCAUUACUUGAAAUAAAAUAAAUGUGAACAGAAAUAAAUAAAUAAAUAAAUAAAUAAACACAAACUUAUUUUAUUUUAAAUAAACUAAAACAAAUAAAUAAAAAUUAUUAAUAAAACUAUAUAGACAUUUAAAAAAUGACAAAACCUUUACGUAAAAUUAAAGUGAAAAUAGGCUAUAAAAAUAAAAUUGAAUUCUAGAUAUUAAAGUCCCCCUGUAGUCAAUAAUUUUAUCUCUUAAAACUCACCAAAAUGACAUAUUUAAAUGUUUUUCCUGUGAAAAAAAAUUCUUCACGCCUUAAAAUAGCUUGAAUGUAACUCUACACCCUUGCUUCACCCCCCGCCUCCACUCACUCACACCAGCUCAGAGAUCCACUCGGUCAACUUACUGAGGUAAACGCUGCACAAUGGUAUCGCUUUUUACAACGUCGGACAUAUAACUGUAAUUAAUAUGAUUAGCCUUUUGCUUGACUACGUUGUCAAACAGCUAAUAAUGUGUUGCUAAUGUUACAAGACUCCCUUGCUUCAAAGCGGUCAUUGUUAAUGAUAUGCUAAAGUCCGCCGGCAUGUUGACGUGAUUGGUUACAAGGUAGUUUGUGAUGUAAGAAACACCAGUGAUUUCAACCGCAAGCAUAUAAACUGAAAGCAUAUUAAAAACACCACAAAGACAUAUAAACAACAUUAAAAACUUGAUUUUCACCACAGGGGGACCUUAACAAAAACCAUAGUAGUAUAUCAAUGAUAUGAAAAUAACACUGGCUCAGAAUUAAUAUUAGGUUUCCGAAUUUCGAUUGGCUGCUGGCAGCCAUUUUUAUUGAUGUCUCAUUGUUGGACAAUGGAGUUUGAUGGGUUUUUUUUAUUUAUUUACUGUAUUGCGCCCCCUAAUGGUGGAGUUUGGCCAUUUUUGCAAUGCAUUCUUAGAAUAUCCUGCUGUCCCACGUUUCUUUAGGUUUGAACUUUGUGUUGAGAAGAUGUAGGUAGUUUUGUGGCUGAUAUUUGUGAAACAGUUUGAAUCAAAAUCAGUUUGAUAACUCUUUAUCUCAGGAGAAACAUCUGAAAGCUGGAGACUUCAGCAAAGUCUAUUGAAUCUUGCUGUCUAGAAACAAUUGAAAGAUUGAUUAGAUCUCAUUUGUAUUUUAUUCUCACCCUGACAGACAGAGAGAAAAAGAGAUCAAAAUGAGAGGAAUUGAAUCUUGGUUAAGUUCAUGACCUCCUGAGUGAUUUACGGCAUGUCCUGGAGUUCAUCGGCCGCGUUUGGCUCCAACUCUACACAACUCCAGAUCUUCAUUCAUCAGGGGAGCACGGCAGGAGCGCGGGCCGACGUUCCUGACAUCCUCAUCUCUCCUUUUCCUCUUUGUUCCCCAUCUGGUGUAGCAAAGAGGUGAAAGACAAGAAACAUUCAUACACUGUUGAACACAAGCCAUCCAUUUUCUGGUGGACUAAAUAUUCUCAAGUUGAACGCAAUCAAGGCAAAUGAGGAGAUCAGUGGCUUUUGGGUGGACCGUACAUUCGGCCGGGUGUUUGAGAUGGGCGCUGGAUGGAG